AAUCCACAAACUCAAACCCUAAUUUUCUCUUUUCAUUGUCUCCCUAGGUUUAGGCUUUCCCCCGGAAACCUACUCGCCUGUUCUCCGAUUAUACUCGAUGGGAACCGAGCGGAAGAGGAAGGUGAGCUUGUUCGAUGUGGUGGAUGACUCGGCAGCGAAGAAACUCAAUGGAGGCUUAAAUGGUGGAAACAGCAUGACGGCUUCGAUCAACAAGUGGAAUGCAAAGCCUUACUCACAGAGAUUUUAUGACAUUUUGGAGAAGAGGAAGACUCUUCCGGUUUGGCAUCAAAAGGAGGAGUUCUUACAGGCAUUAAAAUCCAAUCAAACUCUUAUCUUGGUCGGUGAAACCGGUAGUGGUAAAACAACUCAGAUUCCACAGUUUGUUUUGGAUGCUGUUGAAGUAGAGACAGCUGAUAAGCGCAGGAAAUAUAUGAUUGGUUGCACUCAACCUCGGAGGGUGGCUGCAAUGUCUGUCUCUCGUCGUGUUGCUGAAGAGAUGGAUGUUGUAAUUGGGGAAGAAGUUGGAUAUAGCAUUCGUUUUGAGGACUGCACUAGUGCUAGAACUGUUUUAAAAUACUUAACAGAUGGUAUGCUUUUAAGAGAAGCAAUGGCGGAUCCUCUAUUGGAACGCUACAAAGUAAUUAUUCUUGAUGAAGCUCAUGAAAGAACUUUGGCAACAGAUGUCCUGUUUGGGCUUUUGAAAGAGGUGUUGAAAAAUAGACCAGACCUAAAGCUAGUUGUUAUGAGUGCCACACUUGAAGCAGAGAAGUUUCAGGGUUACUUCUUUGGUGCACCUCUCAUGAAAGUUCCUGGAAGGCUCCAUCCAGUGGAAAUUUUCUACACGCAGGAUCCUGAGAGAGACUAUCUUGAGGCUGCCAUUCGGACUGUGGUGCAGAUUCACACAUGUGAACCUCCUGGUGACAUCCUUGUUUUCCUCACCGGAGAAGAGGAGAUUGAAGAUGCAUGUCGCAAAAUCACAAAGGAAAUUGGUAAUAUGGGUGAUCAAGUAGGCCCUGUUAAAGCGGUGCCUCUUUAUUCUACACUUCCCCCCGCUAUGCAGCAAAAGAUUUUUGAACCGGCCCCACCACCAGUUGUGGAGGGUGGUCCUCCUGGCAGGAAGAUUGUUGUGUCAACCAACAUUGCAGAAACAUCUUUGACAAUAGAUGGCAUUGUUUAUGUCAUAGAUCCAGGAUUUGCUAAGCAAAAGGUUUAUAAUCCAAGGGUGCGUGUGGAAUCUUUGUUGGUGUCUCCUAUUUCAAAGGCCAGUGCACACCAGAGAUCAGGACGUGCUGGAAGAACUCAGCCAGGAAAAUGCUUUAGACUUUACACGGAGAAAAGUUUCCAUAAUGACCUUCAACCUCAGACGUAUCCAGAAAUACUUCGGUCAAAUUUGGCUAAUACAGUUCUAACUUUGAAGAAGCUAGGUAUUGAUGACCUAGUUCAUUUUGAUUUUAUGGAUCCUCCUGCCCCCGAGACGUUGAUGAGAGCACUAGAGGUUUUAAAUUACUUGGGAGCAUUGGAUGAUGAUGGAAACAUGACCCGGCUGGGUGAGAUAAUGAGUGAAUUUCCUCUCGACCCUCAGAUGGGGAAAAUGCUUGUUGUCAGCCCCGAAUUCAACUGCUCCAACGAAAUCCUCUCAAUAUCUGCCAUGUUAUCAGUUUCUCAGUAUUCUCUCAUGAAGCAAAUGGUGUCGUCUCGCCUGUAUGCAUCUGCUGACCUACAGUGGGCCUCCGCUGUGAUAACCAAUUUUUUCUCUAGUACCCAAUUGCUUUGUCCGGCCUAGGGAGGCUCAAAAAGCUGCGGAUGAAGCAAAGAAUCGGUUCGGUCACAUAGAUGGGGAUCAUUUGACGUUGCUGAAUGUGUAUCAUGCCUACAAGCAAAACCAGGAGGAUCCUCAAUGGUGUUAUGAGAAUUUCAUCAAUCAGAGGGCUCUCAAAUCAGCUGACAAUGUGAGGCAACAGCUUUCUCGCAUAAUGGCCAGGUUCAACCUCAAGUUAUGCAGCACAGACUUCAACAGUCGCGAGUACUAUGUGAACAUAAGGAAGGCUAUGUUAGCCGGAUAUUUCAUGCAGGUUGCACACCUAGAGCGUACUGGGCAUUAUCUAACCGUUAAAGACAAUCAAGUGGUACACUUGCAUCCUUCAAAUUGCCUGGAUCACAAGCCAGAAUGGGUUAUAUAUAAUGAAUAUGUCUUAACAAGCAGGAAUUUCAUCCGCACUGUGACUGAUAUCCGUGGUGAAUGGUUGGUUGAUAUUGCACCACACUACUAUGACCUUGCAAACUUUCCACAAUGCGAGGCGAAACGAGUGCUUGAGCGGUUAUACAAGAAGCGGGAGCGAGAAAAAGAUGAAAGCAAGAGCAAAAAAUGAAUCCAUUCGUCAUACUUUUAGUUCCUCCAAGCACGAACACUCCAUGGGAACUCUGGGGUCAGAAUUUGGCCGAUAGGUUAAAGAUUGAUGUACCAUCUAUUAUGUACUGUAAUAGUUUCUAUGAAUCCCAUCUGAACUAUUUAAUACCCUGUUUCUUGUUGCUGGAGUGAUCUAUUUUUUAUCUGUUCCUCGCGUUCAAUGUUGUGAAUUAUCGAACCAUCAUUGUAAGUUUUUUCAUGUGCUGAAGAAAAUAUAUGCAGCCUUUCUGCUAUAUAGAAACUUGAUUUAGAUUAAUGAGCAAUAUGGGAUGCAGCUGCA